AUUGAACGCUGGCGGCAGGCCUAACACAUGCAAGUCGAGCGGAUGAAGGGAGCUUGCUCCUGGAUUCAGCGGCGGACGGGUGAGUAAUGCCUAGGAAUCUGCCUGGUAGUGGGGGAUGACGUCCGGAAACGGGCGCUAAUACCGCAUACGUCCUGAGGGAGAAAGUGGGGGAUCUUCGGACCUCACGCUCUCAGAUGAGCCUAGGGCGGAUUAGCUAGUUGGUGGGGUAGUGGCCUACCAAGGCUUCGAUCGGUAACUGGUCUGAGAGGGUGACCGGUCACAUUGGGACUGAGAUACGGCCCAGACGCGUACGGGAGGCAGCAGUGGGGAAUAUUGCACAAUGGGCGGAAGGCUGAUGCAGCAACGCCGCGUGCGGGAUGACGGCCUUCGGUUUGUAAACCGCUUUCGCCUGUGACGAAGCGUGAGUGACGGUAAUGGGUAAAGAAGCACCGGCUAACUACGUG
rnacentral:rRNA from 1 species